CCCUUAGAUGUUCUGGGCUGCACGCGCGCUACACUGAUGCGCUCAACGAGUUUACGAACUUGCCCGGAAGGGUUGGUUAAUCUUUUUAAAACGCAUCGUGAUGGGGAUAGAUUAUUGCAAUUAUUAAUCUUCAACGAGGAAUUCCUAGUAAGCGCGAGUCAUCAGCUCGCACUGAUUACGUCCCUGCCCUUUGUACACACCGCCCGUCGCUCCUACCGAUUGGGUGUGCUGGUGAAAUGUUCGGAUCGGCCGUUUGUCGCGGUUUCCGCGGCUCGUGGCUGAGAAGUUCAUUAAACCCUCCCACCUAGAGGAAGGAGAAGUCGUAACA
rnacentral:rRNA from 1 species